GUAUUAGUGUUUUGAUGACGGAAGUGGCACCUCAGUCAUCAUGACAUGAAACAAUGACCUGUGCUUAUUAGUUGCUUUUUAAUGGGACAUUAAAACACUUCAUUUAAUUAAUAAAAAUGGCAUUAUUUGGUGACCUCAUAUUCUGAUUGUCACCAAUGUAAUCGUCUUUAAGCAAUUGGACAUGAAACAAUGUCACAGGCUAUGAUGUGUUAAUUACAUCUCAUUUUUUCUAAACUUGAAUGUCUUAUCUUGAAUGUCAACUGUUAAUUGUUUCCGUAGUCUGUUAUUAAAGUAAUUAAGUAACAGUU
rnacentral:lncRNA from 1 species